GGAAGAAGAAACUAGAAACAAUAUCCUAUUUCUAACAAUCUCUGGACAUUUACUUAGAGAUAUAGAAGAAGGGUGAAGAAGAAGAAGAAUGGAGAAGAAUGUCGUGCAUAUUAGUGUUUAGAAUAUAGGGGGACAUAAUUAAUGGGUUAGAGGACAUAAUUAAUGGGUUAUGGGACAUAAAUUAAUGGGUUAGUAAGAUAAUUAUAAUAUAAGGAGACAUAGGUUAGUGGGUUAGUGUGGAAGGAAUAAAUAUAUAUGUAAGUGUAUAAUAUAUACAUGUGCAAAGCUCAAUGUAAACACACACGGAAGAUUGGUCUUUUGAAUCAGAUUUUUUCCUUCAAUUUCGUACAUGGUAUCAGAGCAAUAAGCUCGAUCCAACAGUCCAACCAUCAAAUCAAUUUACAUCAGAUUCACCAUCAUAAUCAGUAACCUAAAAUGUCUGAAACAACCAUCACGUAUACUGGUGAUACGAGAAAAUCAGUCAGCUAUGAUGCCAAUCACCCUUAUCAUUUCAACAACUCUGAUUCACCUGGAAUGACUCUAGUCAACACUAUGUUUGAUGGAAGAGGAUACUCAAGGUGGAGGAGAUCUAUUCUCAUGUCUUUGUCAGCCAAGAAGAAACUUGGUUUCAUCAAUGGAGCAUGUCUAUCUCCAGAUCUGAAAUCUCCAGACCAUGAACAAUGGAGUUGUGUGAAUGACAUGGUCAUCUCUUGGAUCCUAAAUGCUCUCUCAAAGGAUAUUGCGGACAGUGUGAUAUACUCCAAAACUGCAAAAGAACUUUGGGACAGCUUGGAGCAGAGAUUUGGGAGAUCAAAUGGAGCCAAGCUUUAUCAUCUGCAGAAGGAGUUAUCAGGUUUAGUACAGGGAAACAGUAACAUUGCAGCAUACUUCACUAAGCUCAAACGACUGUGGGAUGAAUUAGAUGCUUUAAAUGUUAUCAUAUGUUGUUCACGUGUUUGUGUUUAUGAAGGAAAGACAAAGUUAACUAAGUCUCUUGAGGAUCAGAGAUUGAUCCAAUUCCUAAUGGGAUUAAAUGACAUUUAUGCACAAGCAAGAGGAAAUAUCCUCGUGAUGAACCCUUUGCCUAGCAUGGAUGUUGCUUAUUCACUUCUCUUGCAUGAUGAAAAUCAAAGAGAAGUUUAUGCAAAUGCACAUUUUAAUUCUGAAUCAGUAUCAUUCAUGGCAGCUGGAGAGGCCAAGCAGCCUAAUUCACAACUUCUAGCUGAUUUUGCAGCUUUUAUGAUCACAGGACAAGGGAAGAAUUAUCAGAAACUUAGAAGCUAAACACAAAGAGGAGCAGCCAUAUCACCCAAAUAUAACAACUCAGGGCAAAAGUUUGUUAACUUUNNNNNNNNNNNNNNNNNNNNNNNNNAUUAAGAAAAAAAAAAAAAAAGAAGCUCUAGUUGAGAUAGAGGAGGAAGAAGAUCAUAAAAAAGAACACAAAUUACUUUGUAAUGACUUGUGACAAUAGUGCUAGCAAACUAAGAAGGAAAUGCGUCCAGACGACUUAUCAAUUAUUUUCUAAAACCCACGUAAGAUUUACUUUUUAAAGGACACAAUUGUUAUCUACUUUAUUUCAUUAUCACAAAGACUUGGUUGGAAUUACAUCGCAUGGAUUAAUUCCUUUUUUGUAUGAUAUAUCUUAACUCUCUUUACUACUUUCAAGAAAAUGUAUCCAUUCAGCAGAAAAAAUGUAAAGUGAAAAUAUAAAUAUUAACAAUAUUGUCUUAAUACCUUGGUCUUUCUUUUGUUCAAAUUCAAACAAAUUCUCCCACAUAAAACAUAAGACUACAACUUUGUAAAUCACGUAUAAGUAUUACUGACCAAUCACUACAUUAGAAUUAGCCCGCAGCAUUCGAUUAACCAUCAAUUGUCAGAGCCAACUUAUAUACAAAUUUCUUUUACUUUUUCUGAAAAUACAAAUUUGAUGAAUGAGAUAAUGUUCAAAUUUACAUGAAAAAUACAAGUUCAACAUACCUCACUAUUUUCAAUAUAGUUUGCAAUAAUCUAGAGGCCUUCGAAGCUUGACUUGAGAGCUGAACUUACUAAGUGCUUUCUACAGAGAACUGCAAAUAGUAGCUACAAUCUUCAGAGCCUUGUAUACCCAUUCAUUCAUGUUUAUAGACCAUCUAAACGAAAAAUACUUUGAAUAAGUUUUACAAUUCCAUUGAAUGAACAUCUGGAUUGGGCUCAAAAAAAGUAGGAAAGUCUCUAGUGUGUUAGAAAUUUGAAAAGUCAUGGUUGAUAAAGCAAGAAGAAGAUAAACCAUGGGAAUCGAAAAGGUUAAUUAGCUUGUUGAUGGUGUGCGUGAUACGCUUAUAAAAAAUUUCAAACAUUAAUUUCGGAAAAUGUGUAGACUUCAUGCCGUUCACUUUUACUUGGCAUGUAUACUAAAAAUAGAUUUUCAUUUUUACUUGUCACUUUACACAUAUCAAGAGAAGACAAUAUUUUUUUUCCUGUUAUAUCCACGGUAUUUAUUACUCAUUUCAAAUCAUUUUCUCAAAUCCAAUAAAAUAUGCAUCAAUUAAUAUGGGUAUCAUGGUAAAUUAUACACUUCAUUUAUUAUUUCUUAAGAGACGUGAAAAGUCAAAACGUGCCAAGUAAAAGUGAACGGAGGGAGUAGUAAAUUCACUUAAAACCAAUGCUUGCAUUAAAAUCGGUAACUGACUUUAUUGAUAACUAUGAAAGAAUAAUAUAGCUGCUAAAGGAUAAAAAAAGUCCAUCCAUCACUAUUUGAAGGGUAAAAUAGUCGUUUAGUAUUUGAUGGGCAUUUUAGUCUUUUAACUUUCAUUUUACAUCUUAAUACUUAUAAUAUAGUAUGAUGAUAUGAUGAUGAUGUAUACACAUUUAACUAAUAUGCGGUGAACCAUAUUUCCUCCGGUGAAACAAUCUGGAAGUAACUAAAUAUAGUUUAGAUCUUGAAAAUCAGUUUGUGCUCAACACCUAAAUUAUAAGCCAUCACAUACUGUAUACAAAAGUUUACUAAAGCACAACCUCAUGGCCACUGAUAGUAACAAAACACAUUCAAUCAAUUCAAGAAGGAAAGAUUUCUUCAUUUUCCGUUUCAAGAAUAUGAAUAUAGGAAAGAGUAAAACUAUUGCUAACCUUAUAAUCAAUAAUUUUGAGAGCUAGAUAUUGAGCAAAUUACAUAACUAAGAGCCCAAGAGAAAAGGCAUUAUACAAUCUGGAGGAUAAAGCUGAAACCACUAACCAUUUUCCAUAUAUAUCUUUGUUCAAAUAAAAUAAUUAUUGUCUAUAGCUAACAUCAGUCUUAACCUAAGAACUCCAAUGGAAGAUGUUCCUUAAGAAGUAUUUAUAUGAAAAGAUCAAAGUAGAUGGUGAGAAUUACAGUAAGAAACUUUUAUUUACAUUUCAUACAUAUUGAUAUUCCCUUUGAAGCUUGACAAAAAAAAGACGUCAUGAAUGUUUCAUUCACAACCCAUCUUAGGAGCAUAAUAGAUACCUUAUCAAAUUGGACACAUGGGCUAGGCUAACUGUGUGAGAUAAUUACACCGGGGUUAUUAUCUUUGACAAAGACGAAUCAUAAGAAUCGAAUUAACCAACAAAAUAAAUUAUACUCAUAACAGAACUGCAACAAAUGAUGGGAAUAAUUAUAUUCCUCCAAUGUAAAGAAAGAGAUCCAUUUCAAUGGCCAAGGUGAACAAAUAUCUGAAGAUAAUAACAACUUUUAGUUAAAAUAAGAUGCAAUUGUCCUUCUUGAAAUAUUUUUAACUGCGCCACCCAACCUCUUUACUUCCUGUUAUUUACUUCCUGAAGUUGAAGUAAGAUGCAAUUGCCUUGGAAUUUUAAAAUUUUGGUAACAUUUGUUCCUUGUUGUAUUUUUUACUGUGACAAGCUUAAACAAAGCGACACAGGCAGUUCAUAAUGCCCAAAACAACCAACAUAUUCUCAAAACAAUAAGAACAAAUACAAAUAUUAAGAUAUAUGAAGCAUUAGAAUUGAAUUUCACAAAUCAAUCAACCAUGAAGGUAUUGCUAAACAACUUUUAUCGAAUUAAAUUUGGAUAUAACAUUGUCUUCUAUUCAAUUAAAACAAGAAGAGAGAUAUUAAGAUUGACGAAAUUAAGAUGUUUGUGAGCUAAGAGAAUGACCUCAUGCGUAAUCUGAUGUUGCAAUCUUAAAGAAGGUUUCUCUAGCCGAUAUCAACUACUACAUCUCAUCUUCCACAAGUUCCAACAAAUGAUUAUAUGAGCUUUGUAUAAUCAACGUGUGAAGAGGAUUUCUGAAUACUUUAAACCACCAGUUAAGAAAAAACAUAUUAUAAAUGCGCAGUGUGCGACGAUUGCAACAUAUUAUAAAUAGCUAAUAGAAAAUGUGGUAGAGUAAACUACUGCUAUGUUGAAUUUUCUAUUCUCUCAUCUCACUCUGUUUCAUCUCCUUCUAUCUUCUCUUUAUCAGCUGGUUUCCAUUACUGUUCAAUUGCAAUUUUCCUUAUUAAUCUAUUAUAAUUCAGUUGAGUGAUUUUAAUACAAUCAGCCAGUUUUAUUAUUAAGUGAGUUAUUAAUUAGAUUGUCUUAUAAUUCUAAUACCCUAUUGUACAUGUUUAAGACCUAGCUAAUCUGAAAAGUUCAGCAAUACAGAAGCACUAAUAGCACAACCACAAAAUAUAUGAUCCAUGGUUUCCUCACAAGUCUAACACACCAUCAUUACAAGGCAAAACAAAAUCCAAAGAAUUUGAUCUUAUCAUCUGUAGGCAGCUUUCUUUGUAACAAAUUCCACGUUAGAGAGAACAGUUUAUAUAGAUGAGGCUUCAUCAAAGACAUUCUAUUCAUAAGAGAUGGAUUUUGACGCUAUUUAAUGAGGUUCCAUGCAUUCAAGCAAAUGAUUUUUCGUAUAAGUAGAACCAAUCCAAACAACCUAGUCAUAUUUUGAUACCAAAUGAACUUUAAUCCUACCUAUCUUAAUUGAAAAAAAUCUAGGAACAGAGUGAGACAACUUCAGCAAGUGACACCACAACAUUACAUAUCUACAUUUUUCUUUCCUUUCCUAACACAGCACAUCAUAUUUGGGUUAAAGAUCUUUUUUUUGUUUUUUUUAGUUCUGGAAUAAUAAAAAGACAAUAUUUUUUGAUUUUAUAACAUCUAAUUUAAUUAACUUUUAGUAUUUUUUUCUUAUUUUUUAAGGAUGCACGCUCACAAUCCCAAAAAUACAAGUGUUUACUGUUGCAUUCAAAGGGACAUCUCAGCAGAGAAAGACUUCUAUUACCUACAAUUCUUUCUUCUCACGAACAAAACAACUAAAAGGGGAUUUUUUUCAUUCCCUCAUCCUCCUUGCUCUACACCCCAACUUUAAACCUAACCCUAGCCACCAUCCUCACAUCUCAAUACUCCCACUUUAAGCCCUACACUGCAAUAAUUAAUAUUCAACAAAAUCCAUAUAAAAUAUUAUCAUUCUCUACAAUUAAUAUUCACUAAAAAGAAAUUUCUAGUCUUCAACCAAAAAGAGAAGAAAAGUGACACACCUGUUCAGAUUGAUAACUAUUGUCAUUGUCGGUUUGUGAGUCUCCACCCAGUUCAAAUAGACUUCACGUGAGUCUUCAACCUUUGGGACAUAAGUUUGAGAGCGUUGAUUGCUAAGGAUUUUACAUGCUUUUAGAUUAAAAACACACACAGAGUGGAAUGUGGAUAGGAUUUCGUUUUGAGGAAAAUACGAGAGAAAGAGUGGGGAAGGGGGUUAAUUAAUAUGAGUCCUUUUUGUUUCAACUAAUGAAUAGGAGUAGUUUUUAUAUUGGCGCGGUGGCCCUUUAACUUACCGCUUAACUUAGCUUAUUAGGGACGGGCUAUUUACCUUUUCAACUUAUUUAGCAAAUAAAAAGAGAAUUAGGGACCAGUCAAAAAACUUGUCCCUAUAGGCACUUUUAGGGACCAGAUUUUGCCUGGUCACUAAGU
rnacentral:lncRNA from 1 species